rnacentral:rRNA from 1 species
UACGUAGGGGGCGAGCGUUAUCCGGAUUCAUUGGGUGUAAAGGGAGCGUAGACGGUUAAGCAAGUCUGAUGUGAAAGGUGUGGGCUCAACCCGCAAACUGCAUUGGAAACUGUUUAACUGGAGCGUCGAAGAGGUAAGUGGAAUUCCUAGUGUAGCGGUGAAAUGCGUAGAUAUUAGGAGGAACACCAGCGGCGAAGGCGGCUUACUGGACGAUAGCUGACGUUGAGGCUCGAAAGCGUGGGGAGCAAAC